rnacentral:rRNA from 1 species
UACGGAGGGGGCUAGCGUUGUUCGGAAUUACUGGGCGUAAAGCGCGCGUAGGCGGCUUUGUAAGUUAGAGGUGAAAGCCCAGGGCUCAACCCUGGAAUUGCCUUUAAGACUGCAUCGCUUGAACAUCGGAGAGGUAAGUGGAAUUCCGAGUGUAGAGGUGAAAUUCGUAGAUAUUCGGAAGAACAUCAGUGGCGAAGGCGACUUACUGGACGAUUGUUGACGCUGAGGUGCGAAAGCGUGGGGAGCAAACAGG